rnacentral:lncRNA from 1 species
AAUCCUUGCUGAAUGUAAACUCAAACACUUACAGCAGGGGAUAGGCAGACGUACGGUGGCCCUGAAGGUUCAUUUUGCCCUGUACAGUCCGGCUGCAAACGUGUUCACCAGCGUCACGCUCAACAUCAAACAGAAUCCCUUUGGGGUCCUGCUGCCCUCGGCCAAUGUCCAGUCUGUGACUGUGUUUCCUACGGCCUCUCAGUGGGACUAUGUUGUUUUGACUUGUAAGAUGCUUUUCCUGGUCCUGCUAUUCCAGCGACUGUGCCAUCAGAUUUUGGUUAUUAGUGAAAAAGGACUGAUACGAUUCUGCAGAUCCCACGGAACUGGCUGGAAGUGAGUCACAAAUGCAUCAAUUCAUUUAGAAGUGUUCAAAAUAUUAUAACACUAACCACAUUGUGCCUCUUAACAGGCUGCUCUGUCAUUAGUGGCCACAGUCUACUACAUUUACACCAUUUAUCGAUCGGUCCUGGUCAGCGAUGUGCCGAGACGCUGCAAAGGCAAAACUACAAGACACAUAUUGAUUUCACUUCAUUAGCUGCAUGGGAUCAGAGUAUACAAAGCCUUACCGGCACAUUGCUCUUCCUUCUCACCUUGAGGUGCAUGAGUUUAAUCAGAAAGACAGCUCUCCCGCCUCGCUCAAUCUGCAGCAUCUCCUGGAGUUUGCUUGCAGGUCUUAUUGGUGCUGGAUAUUAUUUCCACUUCCAAAACUCGAGGGUCAAACACGGAGCCAAACCAAUCAAUUCAACGAGAAACGUGCUUCAUCAUGGCAUGACCUUCGUGCUGAUCAGACUACUGUGGACAGCCUUGGUUAUGAAUGUUGUGUCCUCAUCUGCGAAAUGCAUAUGGAGAGGGAGGGCUAUGUUCACCACCACUGACUUUGUACAAUAUGUAAAAGAUAGGCUGUUUUGGAGAUGGGCCCGAUCAGUGCACACGGCCAUAACAUGGAGAGAAAAACGUAUUACUUUGAGCAGUUUGAAAGUGUAUUAG